CUGAAUCAACAGACAGUGGAUGUGACUGGAAACGUGGGACAGUCUGUCCUUCUGCCCUGCUCCUGCUCUGAACUACAAGCCAAACCACACACUUUCAGAUGGAGCUUUUAUAAAGGAUCAGAUCACACAAAGAUCUUCCCAAAGGACCAGACAAAUCGCUACACAGGCAGAGUUCAGCUCUUUAAUGAUCAUCCUCCAGGAAAUCUCUCUCUACUCAUAUCACCCCUGACUGUAGAGGAUGGAGGAUGGUACAGGUGUGAUCAACAAAAAAAUCAGUAAAGACAUUCGACUCACAGUAAAAGGUGCACCAACAAGACCUUCAUCAUCCACACCAGUGAUCACAACAACUUCACCUCCUUCCAGUCCAGACACCACCCUCAUCAUCUGUACUGCUGUUGGGGUUCUGCUGCUGCUGCUGAUACUCGGAGGAGUCAUCUACUGGAAACACAGAGGUACACACACACAAACUUUUCUGAAUUUCACUCUGUCUGGUUUCAUUCUGUAGGACAGAGACGAGGACAGACAGGGAAUGAUGAUGGACAAACAGGACAACAGAAGAAGCAGAAUGAUUGUUCUGUACACCGCCAUAAAUCCACAAACUAUACACAACAAAGCAGAAAAGAUUCCACGAUUUCUGCUCAGAUCUCAGCGUGUCUGGCAGACAUAUAAUAUCAUGAAUGAUGGCUCAUCAGCUGAAAAUCAAUCUGAACAAAACUGAACUGCUAGUCAUCCCAGGAGAUGCAUCCCCAGGUCAGCUGUCCAUUUUCUUGCAUGUUGCUAAUGUCAAGUCAAGACAAAGUCAAAGAAGCUUUGUCACUUCAACCAUAGAUAGCUUAUGCAAUACACAGUGAAGUGAAACAUUCCUCCUGGACCAGAGUUGCUACACCGAACAAAAAGAAAAGUACAGGUGACACGGACAAAGACAGAGCUUAACUAUACUACAAUGUGUAUUAUUUAGAAACUAAACAUACAACAUGGAUGACAAGACAGACAAACAAGACACAUUACGUCAACCUUUGUGCAAAAAACAGUGUUGGGCAGUGGGUGCAAAGUAGGAUAGGAACAGGUUUAGGACAGUGACAAUAGCAGCAGAAGUAACAAAAGUAAUUUAGUUAUAACAGAGGAUUUAAUUAAAGUGACAUGUGUAUUUAAAUAUUUAAAGUAAACAGAUAUGAAUAUUUAAAUUGACGGGUACAUGUAAACAUGAUCAAUGUAAAAGUGAUGUAUGCAUGUAAACAAGACAAAUUUUGUGUGUGUGUAAGUGUGUGUGUCCAGCUCAGUUCAGUUCUUUGUUGAGACCAGCUGUCUGUUGGGUGUGUGUGUCCAGUUCAGUUCUCUGUUGAGAACAGUUCUCAGUUGUGUGUGUGUGUGUGUGUGUGUGUGUGUGUGUGUGUGUGUGCGUCCAUGUCCAACUCAGUUCAGUUCUCUAUUGAGAUACCUGAUUGCCUGAGGGAAGAAGCUGUUCAACAGUCUGGUUGUGCGGGUCCAAAUGCUUCGGUACCUCUUUCCGGAUUGCAGAAAGGUGAAGAGUGUGUGUGAGGGGUGUGUGGGGUCAUCCACAAUGCUGUUUGCUUUACGAAUGCAGUGUGUAAAUUUCCAUAAUAGAGGGAAUAGAGACUUCGAUGAUCUUUUCAGCUGACUUCACUAUCCGCUGAAGGGUCUUGCGAUCCGAGAUGGUGCAGUUCCCAAACCAGGCAGUGAUGCAGCUACUCAGGAUGCUCUCUACUCUGUAGAAGGUGGUCAGGAUGGGAGGUGGAAGAUGAGCCUUCCUCAGCCUUCACAGGAAGUAGAGACACUUCUGGGCUUUCUUAGUGAUGGAGCUGGUGUUGAGUGACCAGAUGAGGUCCUCUGCCAGGUGAACACCAAGGAAUUUGGUACUCUUGAUGAUCUCCACGUUGGACCCAUCAAUGUUCAGUGGAGAAUGGUCACUCUGUGUUCUCCUGAAGCCAACCAUCAUCUUUCAUUUUCUUCACAUUCAGAGACAGGUUGUUGGCUUUACACUAGGCUGUUAGCUGCUGCCCCUCCUCUCUGUACGUACUUGAUAUGGUUGGAGCUGUGCAUUGCUGCACAGUCAUGAGUCAGCAGAGUGAACAGCAGUGGACUGAGUACACAGCCCUGAGGAUGCUCAAUGUGGUGGUGCUGGAGAUGCUGUUCCUUAUCCGGACUUGCUGAGGUCUUCCAGUCAAAGUCUAGGAUCCAGUUGCAGAGGAGGUGUUGGUGCCCAGCAGGCUCGGUUUCUCCAUCAGGUGCUGAGGAAUGAUUGUGUUGAAUGCUGAGCUCAAGUCUAUGAACAGCAUUCGUAUUUAACUGUCUUUAUUAUCCAGGUGUGUAAGGGCCGGAUGCAGGGUUGUGCUGAUGGCAUCGUCUGUGGAGCGAUUUGGAUGAUACACAAACCCCAUGGGGUCUAGUGAUGGAGGCAGAAGGUUCUUGAUGUGCCUCAUGACAAGAUGCACAUAGUGAUGGGUGUGAGUGCAACGGGAUGGUAGUCAUUGAGACAGGACACUGGAGACUUCUUCGGCACGGGGAUGAUGGUGAUGGACUUUAGGCACGUUGGGACGACGGCGCUGCUCAGGAAGAUGUUGAAGAUGUCUGUGAAGACAUCCGCUAGCUGUUCUGCACAUUCCCUGAGCACUCUUACAGGAAUGUUGUCUGGCCCAGCAGCUUUCCGUGGGUUAACUCUGUGUAGAGUUUUCAUCAUGUCGGCCGUGGUGAGACAGAGCACCUGGUCCUCUGGAGGAGGGAUGGUCUCCCUCACUGUCAUGUCAUUUCAUGCCUCAAACCAAGCGUAGAAGCUGUUCAGUGCAUCUGGAAGGGAGGCAUCACUGUCACAGGCUGGUGGAGCCGGCCUGUAGUUGGUGAUGGACUGGAUGCCUUGCCACAUGUGCCGAGUGU